AUUGAACGCUGGCGGCAGGCCUAACACAUGCAAGUCGAGCGGAUGAAGGGAGCUUGCUCCUGGAUUCAGCGGCGGACGGGUGAGUAAUGCCUAGGAAUCUGCCUGGUAGUGGGGGAUAACGUCCGGAAACGGGCGCUAAUACCGCAUACGUCCUGCGGGAGAAAGAGGGGGAUCUUUGGACCUUACGCUAUCAGAUGAGCCUAGGUCGGAUUAGCUAGUUGGUGGGGUAAAGGCCUACCAAGGCGACGAUCCGUAACUGGUCUGAGUGGAUGAUCAGUCACACUGGAACUGGGACACGGUCCAGACUCCUACGGGAGGCAGCAGUGGGGAAUAUUGGACAAUGGGCGGAAACCUGAUCCAGCCAUGCCGCGUGUGUGAAGAAGGUCUUCGGAUUGUAAAGCACUUUAAGUUGGGAGGAAGGGCAGUAAGUUAAUACCUUGCUGUUUUGACGUUACCAACAGAAUAAGCACCGGCUAACUUCGUG
rnacentral:rRNA from 1 species